AUGUUGCAUGAAAGGAGAAAAGAUUAACACUCCCCUAGACAAAGAGAGAAGAAGCCCUCAGGCCUGACAACACACAGUUAAGACAUUGCCACAUACUUUUUGGCAUCUAACCAUCAUUUUUU
ensembl:snRNA